rnacentral:rRNA from 1 species
UACGUAGGGUGCGAGCGUUGUCCGGAAUUAUUGGGCGUAAAGAGCUUGUAGGCGGUUUGUCGCGUCUGCUGUGAAAACUCGGGGCUUAACCCCGAGCCUGCAGUGGGUACGGGCAGACUAGAGUAUGGUAGGGGAGACUGGAAUUCCUGGUGUAGCGGUGGAAUGCGCAGAUAUCAGGAGGAACACCGAUGGCGAAGGCAGGUCUCUGGGCCAUAACUGACGCUGAGAAGCGAAAGCGUGGGUAGCGAACAGG